rnacentral:rRNA from 1 species
AUGUACCGAUGCACCAUAUGCCUCAAGAACAAGAGUAACACCGUGUCUCAAGUUCUGCUGCAGCUGUCUUGCCUGCGAAUUUCUUCAUUGAGACAAGGACUAUGCACACCAGCCUAUGGAGGCUUCUUUGAAUUUGAUCUUCAAAAGGAAAAGAAGAUAUCUCUGAGAACUCUGAUUGAUCCGUCAGCGGUGAAGAGCUUUGGCGGUGGUGGCAGGGUCUGCAUCAUGGCCAAAGUUUAUCCCAUAGCGGUUGUCGAGAGUGGAGCCCACAUGUGUGCCUUCAUUAACGGCGGUACCACGAUCAGAGCACGCGAGAUGUUGACCACGCAUGACGCAUCGCUCCAAUCGCCCAUGUUUCUCGCAGCGGUUUGGCUGCGCGUUAGUUGCAUCUUCGGUUCCCACGCGCUUGCGCGUAGCUCCAGCGAGGGCAUGAACUCACCGGCCCGUCUUGCAUUAGCCGCGCUGCGCCCCUGCUUUGUUCUUCGACUUGACCCUCUAAUGGAUUGGGCGCAAGGAGGCGAAUCAAUGGCGCCGACGCUCGCCGCCCCGGGAGCCUCUCCGGCGGACGGCCAUAGAUCCCGAGCCGCUGCAGUUGAUCCAUUUUUAGCGAGCCCUGAGAUUGACAGAGGGGGGGCGGCCCGGCACUGGAUUUCCCCGGCGGCCAGCCCGUCCCUGCGCCUCCUCUCGGCUCUCGCACCGGACACUCCUGCCUCCCGCUCAGAUUUGGCCCCUGUUCGUGCUCUGCCUUUGCUGAAUCCCCCUCCCACUCCGCCUAGCAUGCUCCUGGAGGAACAAGAGAGGGCGCAGAUGGACCAGAGUCACGGGCCGCCACACCUCUGUCCUUUUCUCAAGCUAUACAGGACCCUAGGCUACUGGCGGUCGCUAACACGCAGCUUGCAGCACAGGACGGUGGUCGGGGAACCGGCGACGCUCCAUUAUAGCACCGGCGUCCACACGCAAUGUCGUCGCAGAGCCUGCGACACUCCAUUGCAGCGCCGACGGCCACACACGAAGCCUGCGACGCUCCAUUGCAGUGCCGAAGGGACAGCAGAAAACGGGGAAGCAGUUGUGGCCCUACGGUGUAGCAGCAGGAGUGGUCGGAAUACAGGCGAGCUCGGCGCAAUGGCUGCGGCUCGGUCGAGCUCGGGAGAAGGCAGGAGAGGCGUCGGACGGCUGUGCGUGAGGGGCUGCUCCAUGGUGUGCGGCCGGUAUCCUCCUGUGAAGAGAGAGAGAGAGAGAGAGAGAGAGAGAGAGAGAGGGGGUGAUGGUGAUAGACGGAGGUAA